GAUUGACAUUGUUUUUGCUCAUUCUGAGGUCGAUAAAAUAGUGAAGUACUAAGGGUCUCUUAAUAUUCUCAUAUGGAAUUAUAACAGAAUACUAAGACAAACACAAAAAGUAAUUUUAUGAUUUACGAAACUACAGUUAGUUACCCCAGCCCCUAAUUAUUUGAAUGGUUUAAAAUAGACAUAAUUUUCCUCUCUGGUCAGUAUCUGUUCCUCAAAAUUACUAAAUUCAAUUAUAAUAUAUUUUUAGAACUAAUUAGUAGUUUUUCUUCUUAUUGCUGACAAGACUUAUUAGCUUUCUGGUAGUUUCGUAUCGUCAUUCUGCAACAACUGAAAUUUUCAUCUUCUGAUCUUUCUCAGCGUCAACAGAUUAACAAAACAGGUUCUUGUCGGUUUAACAUGUCUGGUCUUACUUUAAGAAGUGUUCACCUAUCUCAGUAAUCUACAUAUUAACGUCAAAAUGUCUACUGAAAUUUUGACGAUCCCUUGAAGAUAUGAUGGAGCGUAAGUCAAACAAAAACCCCACUGAAGGAAAGACUAAUUAAAAACUAUUUGAAUUUGUUUAGUUGUGUAUCUUGCUGUUAUCUCCAGUAACCAAUCCAGCACAUCUAAUCUUACUUUAAGAUUUAAAAUUGUGAAAUUUUGAAACUUCAGCUAAGCCUGGAAUGGAUUCUUCAAAGGAAAUUAAAAACUUCUGUGAAGUUUGUGGACUGAACUUGAGUGAAGCAAGUAGCCUUAAAAGACACAUAAGAACACACACAGGAGAGACUCCAUACCAUUGUUCAACAUGUGGGAAGAGCUUUUCACAGAACUACAGCCUUAAAAUACACAUGCGAACUCACACUGGUGAGAGACCAUUCCAGUGUGAUAUAUGUAAGAAAUCUUUCUCACAGAAUUACAGUUGCAAAAUUCACAAACGAAUACAUACAGGAGAGAGACCUUACCAGUGUCACUUUUGUGAAAAGAAAUUUUCUAAAAAAUCACAGUUAGACUCACAUAUUUUCAUGCACAUGAAAAAAGCUGUAUCUGAGUGUGAUUUGCCAGAAAGUCCAAAGACAGACACAUCAACAAAGCUGUCCAGCAAGACAAGUUCAAAAGACGAACAGUACUACUGCUUGAUAUGUGGGAGCGAGUUCUCAGAGAACAAAUCUUUACAAAUCCACAUGAAUUCUCAUGCAAAUAAAACAAAUUUAGAAGUAUGGGAAGAAAUUUUCUAGUAGAUCAAAAAAAGAAUUUGAGAAGUUCAUGGUGUCUGUGGAAAGUUAAAAAUAUAUUGAUGAGCAUACUAGGAAUUGGUCUAACACCAGUUAACAGAAAAAUAUUUAAGUAUGUCUAUGUCUUUUUUCAGAAAAGAUUAACCUGAGAUUAUGUUAUGAGAAGAUAAUAUAUGUGAAUUAUAUUAUGAGCACAUAUUAAGACGAGGUUAUGAAGAAAUCACUCCAACUUACUAUGUAGUUGUUCUAAGAUGAGAUAUCAGCCAAAGAGCAUCAACAGAGUUUCAGGAAAUGAACUACACAAGAGUCAUGUCCAUCUUUGAAUAAGGUGUCUUCUAGAUAACAUGUGACUUUUUAAUGUUAUUUUUUACUUUUGAAAAUAACAAAUAGAACUUUAAAAAGAAAGCAAACAUUUUUUUUUAAAAAAACCUGUCAAUGACUGAAAAAUUUUUAAUAUUCAUUAAUUUGAAACAGAAAUACAUAUCACAUGAAUAUUGAAUAUUGUUGAGAAAUAUAUAAAUUUUAUGAGAUUUGAAACUAUAAAUGAAGCCAUCACCUUUUAGGAGUCAUAGAGAAUUUUGAUGGUGACUAUUUUAUUGAUGAGGUUUGGUGGUUGUAUAUUUUGUAGCAGUGCACCACAAGAAGGAAAAUAAAUAUAUUCUGUAUAUCUGUGGUGGAGUGAAGAUUUCUGUGAAACAAUUGUUUUUAAAUUCAUAGGAAAUCUAGUAGAUUUGAUGACCUAAAUAUUUUAUCAGUGUGGCUGGUUCUUAUAUUUGCUUCUGGUAGCAUUUCUUAGAAUUCAUGACUCUGGUGCUUUAAUUAUGUUAUUUCUUGAGAAUCAUGGAAAUGGAUGGGACUGGAAAAUUUCAGAUUGAAAGCUUUAAUGUUGCUGGUUUAAUACCUCACUGUUCACUGUUGAAUUCCUACUCAGGUUGUUAAAAUAAGUGCCAGUAAUAUAUUGCAAUCAAUUUAAUUGACUAACCACAAAUGAAACAUUCGGCCUUGUGCCUUGUCGAAAGCAAUCAAUAUUAUUGUGUCCUAGCCAUGCUUGUAUGCAACAAUGUCAAAAGAGUAUGUACGCACUUCUGUGUAUGUACCUUUUUUCUGAUUUCAGUAAAUAUACUCCAAACUGA